GCUGGGAAGAGGAAGAAAGAGAGCGCUCAAGAGCAGUGGGAAUGGGAACAUGGAGGAAACCCUACCUGUUUAUUAAUUUCCUCCUCCAGAAAUAGAGGUGGAAAGCUUUGGUUGGGUGUUUCCCGGUGCCUCCCAUUCCUAUCGUUCUUGAGCGCUCCUUCCUCUUCCUUUUGGCU
rnacentral:pre_miRNA from 1 species